AUGGGGUUUUAUAAUGAUCAAAAACUUACACAAAACACUAACCAUGUAAUUACCAUGUAAUUGUACUUAAUGUGUGUAAUGCUGAGCUAACCUGUAAAAUGUCAGUAACACCCAUCCUCUCUGGGGUUUUGGAAGGACUGGAUGUAAAUAAGACAUCUCCUAUGUGAAUGAGCGUUCUGUAGAUUUUUAAGAAGGAUCAUUCAAGCCCAAGGACAGAACUGCAGCCUUGCCUCUUGUGGAGGCUCGGAUGUGUGGCUAUCUUGUCUUCUGUGUUUUUAACCAGCUCCCCUAUCUGCUUAUGUGGAGUGAGUUCAUUCUCGAGAGGCCGUAAGAAGCCCUGUGUUUGUCGUUCUCUGUUAGCCUCACUCUGUUGUGCUGUGUGCUCAUUGAUCUCUAUCAGGGAACAAGAAAAGCCCUCAAACUAGAAUUAGAAACAGCUCCUAAAGAGCAAUAAAGUAAAAAUGCACCAUAGAAAAAGGAAAAGUCUAAACAAAGCUGCCGCUCACAGCAGUCCUGCACAGCAGAUAUAAAAAGCUAUAAGCAGUGUCUUUGAAAGAGCGCGAUGGACAAAGGCAGAUAACCAGGAAAAGCGAGCGCACAAGGCCUGCAACGUUUGGGUUUAUUUAUUUAUUAUAGGUAAGUACUGUAGCUGUCUUCAGACACCACAGUGUCGGUGCUCAAUCACCUGAGAUUAUCCAUUUGGUUUUCUUAUAUAUAUAAGUCUUGUUCUGCCAAAAUCUUCUCUGUCUUUCAGCUAUAUUAUAAUGAGCAGUGAAAAAUAUUAGAAUGAAUGGAGAAACCGUGGGGCGCGGAGACAUACAAAAAAGGAAACCGAUCAUGGCAGAACUAAGAGAUUACAGCUGGAGCCAGGAACUUAAGUCAGUCACGAGACUACUUCUGGGGCUGUAGAGAUGCUCAAUAAACAUCACCGGAAUAACUGGAUGGCAAAACUGUAUUGUAAACUUCCUGUGAAAAGGAGUAUUUAUCAUCUGGCCUCCCGUUCUCAACUUGUAGAUGCUGACUCAGGAGUUAAAUGACCAUUUCACAAGGGUCACCUAAGACUAUCGGAAAACACAGAUAUUCAUAUUACGAUUAAUAAAAGUAGCAAAAUUACAGUAGCAAUAAAAAUAAUGUUAUGGAUGGUGGUAAAGAGCUCAGUACCUUUGUGGAGAGUCACAUUGUGGCAGGCAAGGAUGGAUGCAGUCACAGUGGCUUGUUGAGUGGAACCCGGCUAGAAUACUGUGAAAUCGAGAAAUCACACCAAGCAACACGGAUCGAAGCUCUAUAUUUAAUUCUAUGACCCAAAGGAGAAAUUGCACACGGGGAAUUGCUUGCCAAUCUGGAAUGGUGACACACUCUGAAAUAGGUAUUUCAGCUGCCUUGUGUGUCAGGAAAAAACAGGGUAGGAUCGAAAGGAAUAAAGCCGUGCAGGACAUGGACACCUCCAACUUCCUGGGAAAACAGUUACUGGCCAGGUAAAGUGGCUCACGCCUGUAAUCCCACAUGUGGGAGGUAGAAGCAGGAGGAUAGAGUGAGCCGCUGUCCCCUACUUCAAGCCACUUGUACCUCUGAUCCACACCCAAGCACCACACCAAAGCAAGAAGGAUGAGCUUCAGUUUCGAAGGCGCCAGCCACAAAUGAGAAAGUCACCUGGCCCGCAAAAUAAAUUCCUGUCAAAGCACUUAUGAGGCAAGAGUAAACUUGAUUCC
rnacentral:lncRNA from 1 species